GGCUCAGAACGAACGCUGGCGUCGUGCCUAACACAUGCAAGUCGAACGAGAAAGUGGAGCAGUCCAUGAGUAAAGUGGCGACCGGGUGAGUAACACGUGACUAACCUACCCUAAAGUGGGGGAUAACUCCGGGAAACCGGGGCUAAUACCGCAUAAUAUCGAGAGAUCAAAGGAGCAAUCCGCUCUUGGAGGGGGUCGCGGCUGAUUAGCUAGUUGGCGGGGUAACGGCCCACCAAGGCGAAGAUCGGUAUCCGGCCUGAGAGGGCGCACGGACACACUGGAACUGAAACACGGUCCAGACUCCUACGGGAGGCAGCAGUGGG
rnacentral:rRNA from 1 species